GCUCUGGAGCCCAUGAGAAACAAAUUUGGGUUCAGAAGUCAUCUUCAGGUUCUUAGAAAAUUUACCUAAAUUGUGUAAAAGUGAAUCUUCGAGCCUUUGUGCGCUGAACAUGAUGCUGCCAGAGAACAGCUUUCUUUUGUGAGGGAUAUGGGCUUUAAUGAGUUUACUUUGGAGGGUGAUUCGAUAAGACGAUGUUGAUUUGCAAGGCUCUACAAGACGCCGAGGGGCGUUGGUUUGAAUGCUGGGCUAUACGUUAAUCAAGAGCCAGAUGAGGAUGUUCAGAUGCUGUGUUCUAAGGCAAGUCGACCUGGAAUGGUGUAGUUCAUGAUCUGGCUAAAUAAGUCUCGGACCUCACAGGUUUCCAUUUAAAUUGAAGAAAUCCCUAAGAUGUUGGUUGUGAAGGAAGCUUUAGAUUGAAUCUCAUAAAAAGAAAAAAAAAUCCAUAUUUUGGAAUUGUUUAGAUGUGUAGAAUAUCAUCGGUGAAGAAUGAUGUUUAGACUUUAGAUUCUCUUCAAUAUGGGUUUGCUACUUUAUUAUUAUAUUUUAUAAGUUUUGAAUUUUUGAUUAACCUUUUCAAUCUAAUUUCCACUCAUGGAUUAUAUGUU